rnacentral:rRNA from 1 species
AGCAGUCGCCGCGGGAAUACGUAGGUGGCAAGCGUUGUCCGGAAUUAUUGGGCGUAAAGGGCUCGCAGGCGGUUUCUUAAGUCCGAUGUGAGAGCCCCCGGCUCAACCGGGGAGGGUCAUUGGAAACUGGGAAACUUGAGUGCAGAAGAGGAGAGUGGAAUUCCACGUGUAGCGGUGAAAUGCGUAGAGAUGUGGAGGAACACCAGUGGCGAAGGCGACUCUCUGGUCUGUAACUGACGCUGAGGAGCGAAAGCGUGGGGAGCGAACAGGAUUAGAUACCCCAGUAGUCCCUGUCUCUUAUAC